GAGUUUGGCCGAGCGGUCUAAGGCUCUGGUUUAAGGCACCAGAGUUUCGGAGGCGUGUGUUCAAAUCCCUCCGCUGCCA
rnacentral:tRNA from 1 species